CUAAGAAUAUUCCGCAAUGGACGGAAGUCUGACGGAGCGACGCCGCGUGGAUGACGAAGGCCGAAAGGUUGUAAAGUUCUUUUGCUGGGGAAGAAUAACCGCAGGAGGGAAUGCCUGUGGGAUGACAAGAACCGGCGAAUAAGCCCCGGCCAACUACGUGCCAGCAGCCGCGGUAACACGUAGGGGGCGAGCGUUGUUCGGAAUUACUGGGCGUAAAGGGCAUGUAGGCGGCUUGGAAAGCCUGGCGUGAAAGUCUGCAGCUUAACUGCAGGGGUGCGCUGGGAACUGCUGAGCUUGAGUGACGGAGAGGGAGCUGGAAUUCCGGGUGUAGGGGUGAAAUCUGUAGAUAUCAGGAAGAACACCGAUGGCGAAGGCAAGCUCCUGGCCGAUGACUGACGCUGAGGUGCGAAAGCGUGGGGAGCA
rnacentral:rRNA from 1 species